ensembl:lncRNA
ACAUAGUUUGCAAAUAUUUUCUCUCAUUUUGUAGGUUGUCUAUUUACUCUGUUGAUAGUUUCCUUUGCCGUGCAGAAGCUCUUAAGUUUAAUUAGAUCCCAUUUGUCAAGUUUUCCUUUUGCUGGGACUGGUUUUGGUGUCUUUGUCAUGGAGUAUUUUUCAGUACCUGUGUCCAAAAGUAUUAACUAUGUAAGAGUUUACUAAUAUGUUGUCCUUGAAUCUCCUAAAAUAGGUUGGAAAGCUAUAUAUAUGAAUAGACUUUUCCCAGGUGAAAGAAUUUUAGCAUUGAAGAUGAUAUUUGAGUCUUGAAGGUGUCCAUGACCUAAAGGCCACCAGCACUUGCUAAUAACAAAAUGAGAAACUACUUUAAGUGUCAUCUUUAUUUAUAUCAAUCAACAUUUUGCGUCUUGAUGCUAAAUUAUCUGGAACAUUACCUAAAAUCACAAAUAAUUUGAAUCAAGCUUCACUAAGAAGUAAGAUGAUCUUACAUUUAGAAGAAAAUAUUGAAGAAAGCCAAAUCUCCCCUUCAACUGGACAUUGUUGUGGACUUAAAAAAUCUGACUCUGUGCCUGGAAACUUUAAUAGAGCAUUAGAGUAUUGUUAAACUGAAACCUGAAAUAGUGACCAUUUUAUGCAAACGCCAGUUGUAAAAGCUGCACUCCAUUACCAGUUUCGCUCUUGUUACCCAGGCUGGAGUGCAAUGGCGCGAUCUCGGCUCACUGCAACCUCCGCCUCCUGGGUUCAGGUAAUUCUCCUCCCUCAGCCUACUGAGUAGUUGGGAUUACAGGCACGUGCCACCAUGCCCAGCUAAUUUUUUGUAUUUUUAGUAAAGACGGGGUUUCACCAUGUUGACCAGGAAGGUCUCGAUUUCUUGACCUCGUGAUCCACCCGCCUCGGCCUCCCAAAGUGCUGGGAUUACAGCCGGGAGCCACUGCGCCCGGCCUUAAACACUAUUUAAGAAAUAGUUGCACAGCUAAAGAGGCAAGAAUCAUCAAAAUCCAAAUACUUAUUUCAUGAAAAGGAAUAAUCCAUAUAAGAUCUAAAUAAUAUAGGUUCUCUAGAUACAUACAUAUAUAUAUAUAUAUUUAAAGUCUUAAAUAUAAUUCUGAGUGUCAAAUAUCCAUAAAAGAUUUGUCCCCAAACAUUUUAUGAGAUUGUGUAAUUGAAUGAUAUUGCGAUAGUCCAUAGCAAUGAAGGAGAAAUGAGUUAUACUACAAUUUACUUGAACUAUUUAGUUAGAAAGCAUAACAAUGUAAAAUAAUAUUAGAAACUAAAACUACAAUGAUUGAAACCAAACUGUAAGUUACUUUAAAAGUUAGAAAACAUGAUAUAUAUUAUGUAGUUUUCCCAUGACCUGUGGUGUCCUAUGUUCGAUUAACCCUUGGCAUUCUCUUCCUCAUCAGCAGUACUUUCAAGUAACUACACAGAUUUUGUAUGCAUGAAGAGGCAGAUAAAAAUUUAGUGUAAAAAUCAAGGUUAUGACUGUGAUAUGACCAAAGGAAGGAAGGACAAAAGGAAAGAAAAAAACAGGAAAUUUUGAAUUCCAUUGCUAAUGUAGGACGGUUAUGAUAAACAUGGAUUUUCUAUAAAUGUUUUCAAGAAAUCUAAUUUUUCAUACUCCUUGGUGACAGGAGAGUCUCAAACCAUAUUCAGGAAAGAGACACAGUAAAACUGUAAUCCCAUGCUUUGGAAAUUAAACUGUUUAAGUGUGAAUUUUUGUCUGAUAAUUUAUCUGUUGUGUGACCUUGAACAGUGUACACAACCUCAAAGUACUAAAUCUCCUUCAUGCAGAAUAAGAAAAUGAGAUAUAUUGUAUUUUUAGUCACCUUAAUAUCCAAUGCAUCUUUAAUCACCCUCCCUUUGGAAAAAACUAUACAUUCCCAGCAUGUUGAAUGACCACGU